rnacentral:rRNA from 1 species
GCUUGUCUCAAAGAUUAAGCCAUGCAUGUCUAAGUAUAAGCCUUUACACGGUGAGACUGCGAAUGGCUCAUUAAAUCAGAAACUGUUUAUUUGAUAGUGCCUACUACUUGGAUAACCGUGGUAAUUCUAGAGCUAAUACAUGCUGUUAAGCCUGACUUACGAAGGGCUGUAUUUAUUAGAUAACAGACCAAUAUUCCCUCGUGUCUAUUGUGGUGAAUCAUAGUAACUGAUCGGAUCGCAUGGGCGUGCCCGCGACAAACCAUUCAAGUUUCUGCCCCAUCAGCUUUCGAUGGUAGUGUAUUGGACUACCAUGGCUUUUACGGGUAACGGAGGAUUAGGGUUCGAUUCCGGAGAGGGAGCCUGAGAAACGGCUACCACAUCUAAGGAAGGCAGCAGG